UACGUAGGGUCCGAGCGUUGUCCGGAAUUAUUGGGCGUAAAGGGCUCGUAGGCGGUCUGUCGCGUCGGGAGUGAAAACUUACAGCUUAACUGUGAGCGUGCUUCCGAUACGGGCAGACUUGAGGUAUUCAGGGGAGAACGGAAUUCCUGGUGUAGCGGUGAAAUGCGCAGAUAUCAGGAGGAACACCGGUGGCGAAGGCGGGUCUCUGGGCCGAUACUGACGCUGAGGAGCGAAAGCCAGGGAGGCAAACGG
rnacentral:rRNA from 1 species